GACGAACGCUGGCGGCGUGCUUAACACAUGCAAGUCGAACGGAAAGGCCCUGCUUUUGUGGGGUGCUCGAGUGGCGAACGGGUGAGUAACACGUGAGUAACCUGCCCUUGACUUUGGGAUAACUUCAGGAAACUGGGGCUAAUACCGGAUAGGAGCUCCUGCUGCAUGGUGGGGGUUGGAAAGUUUCGGCGGUUGGGGAUGGACUCGCGGCUUAUCAGCUUGUUGGUGGGGUAGUGGCUUACCAAGGCUUUGACGGGUAGCCAGCCUGAGAGGGUGACCGGCCACAUUGGGACUGAGAUACGGCCCAGACUCCUACGGGAGGCAGCAGUGGGGAAUAUUGCACAAUGGGCGGAAGCCUGAUGCAGCAACGCCGCGUGCGGGAUGACGGCCUUCGGGUUGUAAACCGCUUUCGCCUGUGACGAAGCGUGAGUGACGGUAAUGGGUAAAGAAGCACCGGCCAACUACGUG
rnacentral:rRNA from 1 species